GAUGAACGCUGGCGGCGUGCCUAAUACAUGCAAGUCGAGCGAACAGACGAGGAGCUUGCUCCUCUGACGUUAGCGGCGGACGGGUGAGUAACACGUGGAUAACCUACCUAUAAGACUGGGAUAACUUCGGGAAACCGGAGCUAAUACCGGAUAAUAUAUUGAACCGCAUGGUUCAAUAGUGAAAGACGGUUUUGCUGUCACUUAUAGAUGGAUCCGCGCCGCAUUAGCUAGUUGGUAAGGUAACGGCUUACCAAGGCAACGAUGCGUAGCCGACCUGAGAGGGUGAUCGGCCACACUGGAACUGAGACACGGUCCAGUCUCCUACGGGAGGCAGCAGUAGGGAAUCUUCCGCAAUGGGCGAAGGCCUGACGGAGCAACGCCGCGUGAGUGAUGAAGGUCUUCGGAUCGUAAAACUCUGUUAUUAGGGAAGAACAAAUGUGUAAGUAACUAUGCACGUCUUGACGGUACCUAAUCAGAAAGCCACGGCUAACUACGUG
rnacentral:rRNA from 1 species